AGGACUAAGAAACUUGAGGCUAGGCUGACCCCAUGGUUGUUAUGAUUAGAAAUCCGAGGCCACUGGAAACCCGGAGCUGCUGACCAACGAGUCACAGGGUAACUUCGCCUUCGCAUGGGGAAACGGGCUGGUGCAGUGGUGUCAUCUUGGCUCAGUGCAGCCUCGACUUCCUGGGAUCCAGCGAUCCUCCCGCUUCAGCCUCUAGAGUAGCCGAGACCACAGGAUUUGGAAGAGGGCAGGAGAGAAAAAUGAACUGCAAGACUCCAGCACAAGAGGUGGGAUUGCUGGCAGAUGUCUGCUCCCUCUCCAAACCUAAUGAACAUCUCAAAGUGCCAUCCACUUUCCUAUACCCUUGAUCUGUGAAAUGGAUCACUGACGCUUUCUCUGUCUUUCCGGAAAUGCAAAACAGGAACAGAAACAACACACUCAGACUUGAGAAACUGGUCUGGUUUAAAAGGGUUCCUGGCCUUACAGGUGGGUAAGAAAUGUCACUUCCUGGCAGGCUGAGGAACAUCAGGAUAUUUGGAGGACCUUGACAAGGGAAGAAUUCACCGAAAUCUAUAGGUAUUCCAGGCAAAGUGUGAUAGCAAGAUCCUGGUAUGGUUUCCUAGCCUUGAGAGGCUUUUAAAAGUCUAAUUUGAGAUUCCUUAUUAAAAGAUCCAGAAAAGCCAACUUAAAGAGACCCUGUGUGGUAAAACACUAUUCCUGCUGCACUUGUGUAAAUAUUAGGCCAACUUUAAAGACACUAAAUUUAUUUUGCAAACAGAUUACUCUUACUAAUACUUUGAUGAUGUUUGAUAAAAAGGGAGUAAGUAUAGAGAAAAAACUUUCAGAGAAAAAAAUAUAGUGCACCUGUUAUUAGACUCUAGCUCAUUGUUUUUGAGGUUUUUUCGUCUACCUGAAAUCUAGACUGGAUCUUGAAUUUUUUGUUUCCUGUAAUAUCUGGCAAUGGGCUGGGUGUCAGAGCUCGCAACUGCAAUCCCAGCACUUUGGGAGGUCGAGGUGGGAGGAUUGCUGAAGCCCAAGACUUCGAGACCAGCCUGGGCAAAAGGCGAAACACCGUCUCUACAAAAAGUUCAAAAAUUUGCUGGGCAUGGAGGCAUGCGCCUGUGGUUGCAGCUGCUUGGAAGGUGGAGGUGGAAGGAUUGCUUGAGCCAAGGAGGUUGAGGCUGCAGUAAGCCUUGUUUGUGCCACUGCACUCCAGCCUCAAUUACAAAGCAAGGACCCCAUCUCAAAAAAAAAAAAAAAAAGGGCUGGACGCAUUGGCUCAUGCCUGUAAUCCCAGCACUUUGGCAGGUUGAGGCAGGUGGAUCACUUGAGGCUAGGAGUUCGAGGCCAGCCUGGCCAACAUGGUGAAAACCCAUCUCUACAAAAAAUACAAAAAUUAGCUGGGUGUGGUGGUGUGCACCUGUAAUUCUAGCUACUCGGGAGGCAGGGGCAGGAGAAUUGCUUGAACACAGAGGUGAAUGUUGCAGUGAGUGGAGAUGGUGACACUGUACUCCAGCCUGGGCGACAGAGCAAGACUUCACCUAAAAAAAAAAAAAGUCUAGCUAUGGCUCUUAAAACUAAUAUUUCUGAUUUUUCUUCUACCCUUCUGGCUUUGAACUGCUGAAAUUAAACUGCACUUUUCCUGAAGUCUUGUCAGCUGAAGCUGGAUGGGUUAAUAUAGACUGCAGAGAAAUCACCACCACUCAUACAUGGACUACUCAGAAAUUUCACCAGAACACCUCAUGCAAACUGCAAACCAGGAAAUUCCGUCAGAUUGCCACUGCCUGCCCCCAUUCAAACUGAAGAUACUUCAAGCUUAACAUCUAAAACUUUCUGACUGGCUGCCCUCUGGACUAAAAAAACUGAGUUUAUAGUCAGUUCCAAUCAUUAACCUUUGCUUUUCUCGUUUCAAUGAAAAUAUCUUUUUUUUUUUUUUUUUUUGAGACAGAGUUUUGCUGUUGUUGCCCAGGCUGGAGUGCAAUGGUACAAUCUCGGCUCAUUGCAACUUCCACCUUCUGGGUUCAAGUGAUUCUCCUGCCUCAGCCUCCUGAGUAGCUGCGAUUAUAGGAAUGUGCCACCACACCUGGCUAAUUUUGUAUUUUUAGUAGAGACAGGGUUUCUCCAUGUUGGUCAGGCUGGUCUCAAACUCCCUAGGUGAUCCGCCCGCCUCGGCCUCCCAAAGUGCUGGGAUUAUAGGCAUGAGCCACCACACCUGGCUGGAAAUAUCUCUUAUUAAAUGAAUGAUUGCUUAGGCCUAACUUUGGUGGAUGCCAUUCUGCAAUCCCACCACCUGACUCGAGACAGUCCUGUUAACUGUUUAACUGGACUGACCUAUUCUCAGGACUGAGAGACUGGUAUAAUGACUAGAUAAUAUAGUGACCCAGUUCCUGAACCGAGAAACUUUAUAAGGAGGUUUCAUGGUACCUUGGCAAUUGAGAAAACCAAAGAAGCAAGAAGGUCAGUAUUACCACAAUCACUAUGCCUUUCUGUGUGGCAGCUGGCCAUAAAGGAAUGCUCUGACCUACCUCCCCUGAAAGUAGGGCAUAAAGCCCUUAUUCCAGAGGAGUACUUCUUUACCCAGAGGCCAAAAGAAUCUGAACAGACAGCCAUUUCUGGGCUCCCCAGUGCCCAUUUAUUAGCACUAGAUAAUAUACUUAUUGUCCAAUCAUACUUCUACAUGACUUGUCCAUAGAAUCCAAGCCUAAAAAUACAUACUUUUCAUUGGGUCUUUGGUCCUCAUUUCUGAGGGCUCCCUUGUCAUGGAAAACUUUGUUAAAUAAUUUUUUAAUGGUUUUCUCUUGUUAAUCUGUUUUGUUGUAAGAUUGCAAGCCAUAACCCUGGCAAUGGGUGACAAAAAACUAUUAACUUCUUGUCUCCUACAAUAGACACUGUUAGUAACUGGACUCUACCCUCCCAUGGAAUUUCCCUCACUUCUUUUCUUGCCUGAUUCAAUCAUAACAACCCUGCUGACUUUCAAUUGUGCCUACAAUUUUCACCUUAAUCCUAUCAGGUCCUGAAGAAAUUUUUCCAGAUGAAUUAGUGAUCAUCUCCCAACUAUUUGGACUUUGGUGUCUGCCAUUCUGUAUAUAACAGAACAUACUAUAAAAGCACAGUCUGUACUGGACAGAAUCAUUUACUCCCUUUCCUAGACCAGCCACGUAGCUUGGCCUGAUCUGGAGGCUAAAAUAUGGAGCCCCAUUCAUCAUCUUUGGAAGAGCUGUCUUGAAGGCAGCAUGUCCAGAGCCCCACAUGCCACCAGACUUAAGCCUAAAGUAAGCUGGGAUUGGGCAAUGGACAACUUCACUGCACUGAGCCACCACUGCCAAUGUCCCCAGUUCUGUGCACAUAUGAAGUACAGUGCAUUCAGGCUGCCAUGCUGGGCUUACAUAGGCUAGAGUCAUUUCUGAAGUUUAAAGGGGACAAAAAUGUUGUUGAGACCCACACUCUGGGGCCAAUGGCUGAAACCACAGAAGAGCUACACUCACUUGAAAAAUAAGUGUAUGCUGAGAUCGUUCGAAGAUGGCUGAAUAGGAACAGCUCCAGUCUAAAGCUCCCAGCGUGAGCAACACAGAAGACAGGUGAUUUCUGCAUUUCCAACUGAGCUUUGAAGAGAGCAGUUGUUCUCCCAGCAUGGAGUUUGAGAUCUGAGAACGGACAGACUGCCUCCUUAAGUGGGUCCCUGGCCCCCGAGUAGCCUAACUGGGAGACACCUCCCAGUAGGGGCCAACUGACACCUCAUACAGCCGGGUGCCCCUCUGAGACGAAGCUUCCAGAGGAAGGAUCAGGAAGCAACAUUUGCUAUUCUGCAAUAUUUGCUGUUCUGCAGCCUCCACUGGUGAUACCCAGGCAAAUAAGGUCUGGAGUGGACCUCCAGCAAACUCCAACAGACCUGCAGCUGAGGGUUCUGACUGUUAGGAGGAAAACUAACAAACAGAAAGGAAUAGUAUCAACACCAACAAAAAGGACAUCCACACCAAACCCCAUCUGUAGGUUACCAUCAUCAAAGACCAAAGGUAGAUAAAACCACAAAGAUGGGGAGAAACCAGAGCAGAAAAGCUGAAAAUUCUAAAAUCAGAGCAUUUCUUCUCCUCCAAAGAAUCACAGCUCCUCGCCAUCAACGGAACAAAGCUGGACAGAGAAUAACUUUGACGAGGUGACAGAAGUAGGCUUCAGAAGAUCGGUAAUAACAAACUUCUCCGAGCUAAAGGAGGAUGUUCAAACUCAUCGCAAAGAAGCUAAAAACCUUGAAAAAAGAUUAGACGAAUGGCUAACUGGAAUAAACAGCAUAGAGAAGACCUUAAAUGACCUGAUGGAGCUGAAAACCAUGGCACAAGUACUACGUGAUGCAUGCACAAGCUUCAGUAGCCGAUUUGAUCAAGUGGAAGAAAGCGUAUCAGUGAUUGAAGAUCAAAAGAAUGAAAUGAAGUGAGAAGUUAGAGGAAAAAAGAGUAAAAAGAAAUGAACAAAGCCUCCAAGAAAUAUGGGACUAUGUGAAAGGGCCAAAUCUACAUUUGAUUGGUGUACCUGAAAGUGACAGGGAGAAUGGAACCAAGUUGGAAAACACUCUUCAGGAUAUUAUCCAGGAGAACUUCCCCAACCUAGCAAGGCAGGUCAACAUUCAAAUUUAGGAAAUGCAGAGAAUGCCACAAAGAUACUCCUCAAGAAGAGCAACCCCAAGACACAUAAUCGUCAGAUUCACCAAGGUUGAAAUGAAGGAAAAAAAGGUUAAGGGCAGCCAGAGAGAGGUCAGGUUACCCACAAAAGGAAGCCCAUCAGACUAACGGUGGCUCUCUCAGCAGAAACUCUACAAGCCAGAAGAGAGUGGGGGCCAAUAUUCAACAUUCUUAAAGAAUUUUCAACCCAGAAUUUCAUAUCCAGCCAAACUAAGCUUCAUAAGUGAAGGAAACAUAAAAUCCUUUACAGACAAGCAAGUGCUGAGAGAUUUUGUCACCACCAGGCCUGCCUUACAAGAGCUCCUGAAGGAAGCACUAAAGGAACAACCGGUACCAGCCACUGCAAAACAUGCCAAAUUGUAAAGACCAUUGGUGCUAGGAAGAAACUGCAUCAACUAACAAGCAAAAUAACCAGCUAACAUCAUAAUGACAAGAUCAAGUUCACACGUAACAAUACUAACCUUAAAUGUAAAUGGGCUAAAUGCCCCAAUUAAAAGACACAG
rnacentral:lncRNA from 1 species